ACAGAGGGGGCAAGCGUUAUUCGGAAUUAUUGGGCGUAAAGGGCGCGUAGGCGGCCUGGCAAGUGGAAGGUGAAAUCCCUCGGCUUAACCGAGGAACUGCCCUCCAAACUGCUUGGCUUGAGACCGGGAGAGGUGAGUGGAAUUCCCAGUGUAGCGGUGAAAUGCGUAGAUAUUGGGAGGAACACCAGUGGCGAAGGCGACUCACUGGACACGUAUUGACGCUGAGGUGCGAAAGCGUGGGGAGCAAACAGGA
rnacentral:rRNA from 1 species